rnacentral:rRNA from 1 species
AUGAACGCUGGCGGCGUGCCUAAUACCUGCCAGUCGAGCGAACAGACGAGGAGCUUGCUCCUCUGACGUUAGCGGCGGACGGGUGAGUAACACGUGGAUAACCUACCUAUAAGACUGGGAUAACUUCGGGAAACCGGAGCUAAUACCGGAUAAUAUAUUGAACCGCAUGGUUCAAUAGUGAAAGACGGUUUUGCUGUCACUUAUAGAUGGAUCCGCGCCGCAUUAGCUAGUUGGUAAGGUAACGGCUUACCAAGGCAACGAUGCGUAGCCGACCUGAGAGGGUGAUCGGCCACACUGGAACUGAGACACGGUCCAGACUCCUACGGGAGGCAGCAGUAGGGAAUCUUCCGCAAUGGGCGAAAGCUUGACGGAGCAACGCCGCGUGAGUGAUGAAGGUCUUCGGAUCGUAAAACUCUGUUAUUAGGGAAGAACAAAUGUGUAAGUAACUAUGCACGUCUUGACGGUACCUAAUCAGAAAGCCACGGCUAACUACGUG